AAUCCAUGCAUUAGACAUUUUCGAAUUAACUCUUUAAAUCAUUCUGAAGCUUCAUACAAUGUUUCAUCCUUUGAUUGUCGAAAAGAUGUGAUGUCAUUUAUGAGCUU
rfam:Gossypium raimondii Chr06_contig_728, whole genome shotgun sequence.